rnacentral:lncRNA from 1 species
GAGGUCUGCCAAAACCAACAAUAUUUCAAAAGACUUGUUUGGACCUUCAAACCUUGUGUUGAUGGAUUCCAUAUUUUGAACCGUUGGUACAAGUAGACGAAACAUUUUUGUAAUGAAGAUAUAAGGGGACUCUUCUAGUUGUUGUGGCAUAAGAUAGGAACCCCAUUUCUUUUUCUAUAAUUGAGGGUGAAACAACAGACACUUGGUUGUUUUAUCUAAAAACCUUAGGAAGCAUGUCAC